ensembl:lncRNA
GAAUUUUCCACCCAUAUAUUCUUUUAUUUUCUGUCUUCUUUGCCUUCAAGUGUCAAUUGGCUCCUCUCAGUCACAGCUGUACAAAUCACAGGAUUUUUUUUUUUAUUGGCAUAAGACAUAUGCAUUAUUCAUCUAUUCAGUUUCAUCUGAAGGAAAUCCAAAAAAGACACAACUUUACCUUCCAAAGAAAUAUUUAAAGCUGCUUUUUCCCUGCGAGAAAGUAGGCAGAAAACUUCAUCCAUGAUCUACGUCCCCAUGUUCAACCCAGCUCUCCAUGAUGGGAGAAUUAAGUCCUUGACAGCAACCAUCAACCACUAAUGAAAAGAGCAAAAACAGAAGAUGUGAGAUCCAAGCUCUCUCUCAGAAGAUAAAAGUUACCUUAUAAAAGAGACAGUCGUGGUUUUAUAAGCAAAACAGGACUUUCUCAACAUCUCACAGCCAUCUCAUUAGCCAAUGCUCUCUCAUCACGAGUGAUCGUGGUUAUUUAGCGUCAGAAGCAAAAUAUGGGAGAUCUGUCUGCAGGCAAGUGGAGACAAGGCAUAAGAAAGGAAGAGCUAGGUGUGUGAGGAAAAUGCUGAAGUGGACAUACUUUAGUGCCUGAUUCAUAAGGACGAAAAGGCAUCGACUCGAGCAGAGAUGUAACCCCUUCUGGGUGGGAUGCCCAAUUCCCAGAGCGUACCACUGAACUCACAGCUGGGCAGCUCAAACGACAGAUGGAGAGAAUUUCUGGGAUCUCACAUUUCAGGAGUGGCAAGGAGGGAGGCAGCUGAUGCUGAAAAAGACCUUAAAUUCAAGUAAUAUGGUGCACCCAGAACACCCUUCAACAGCUUCAGGUUGCCCUGAUGUUCGUUUUAAUCUAGUUUUGCCUGUAUCACCAUGUUGAGGCAAAGGAAAGGACUGUGCGAUUUGGGACUUUGUAUUCCUCCGUGGGAUUUAGCAUUGACCAUGAAAACAGAAUAUGUAGUCAGAAUCUUCAUGGGAAACGUGUUCAGAAGAAAGAACAGUGAGCCAGGAAGCUUGGAGGUUUGGGCUCUGGCCGCAGCUUUCCCAUGGACAUGUCAUAUAUGUCCCAGAAAGUCAUUUAGACUUUGUAGCACCCAGUUUCUUUUUCUGUUAAUCAUCGAGUGAAUUGGAUGACCUCUCCCCCCAAAUUCUAUAAUUCUAAAUGUCAUACGUAUGUUUGCAUGAAUCCACGAGUCACUAAAACCUAGCAGAUUUCAGAAAAUUAUUUAAUAAACAAAAUUUCUCAUCAGCAACUCAAGAGAUCUUGGAACUGACUCCCAAAACAUUGGAUAAUCAUGUUUAGGCAAAGUCUUCAAACCCAAAGAGAAGAUCUCGGGAUUGUUGAGCGUCUUUUCACCACCAUUCAUACCACGCAGAAGACAGGCUGUCAGUUCCGAGCUCACACUCACUCUGCCCUGAGGGCUCAGAGCAUUGGAACAUCUCUCAUUAAUUGGGGGGGUGGGGGUGGGGGGUGCUUAAUAUACAGAAUAUGGUAUUGCCUCUUUCACAAUGAAAUGAAAUCUAAAGGGCAUGUUUCAGUUCUAUAAUAUUUUCAGCAUCUCAAAAUGCUUUGAGAAUAGCUUCAGCUUUUUUUUUUUCUCAUUUCUGAUUUGAUCCAUGUAAUGACUUUGUAAAGCAGGCGAGGCCCAGGAAUUAUUGUGCUCAUUUACAAAGCAAUAUGCUGGGGGCAAAGAAAUAAAAUAACUUGGUUACCUCUUAGAGAUGGUGGUCCUCACUCUGGGUUCUCCUGACUUGCAAACAAAACCCAACCCCGUGUAGGAGUGACCUCCUCUCUGUAGUCCACCUGCCUGUAGAUCAGUCCCUUCAAAUGCG